UACGAAGGGGGCUAGCGUUGCUCGGAAUCACUGGGCGUAAAGCGCACGUAGGCGGAUUGCUAAGUCAGGGGUGAAAUCCUGGAGCUCAACUCCAGAACUGCCUUUGAUACUGAGGAUCUUGAGUUCGGGAGAGGUGAGUGGAACUGCGAGUGUAGAGGUGAAAUUCGUAGAUAUUCGCAAGAACACCAGUGGCGAAGGCGGCUCACUGGCCCGAUACUGACGCUGAGGCACGAAAGCGUGGGGAGGCAAACAGGG
rnacentral:rRNA from 1 species